rnacentral:rRNA from 1 species
UCGGAUUGCAGGCUGCAACCCGCCUGCAUGAAGUUGGAAUCGCUAGUAAUCGCGGAUCAGCAUGCCGCGGUGAAUACGUUCCCGGGCCUUGUACACACCGCCCGUCACACCAUGAGAGUCGGGACACCCGAAGUCCGUAGUCUAACCGCAAGGGGACGCGGCCGAAGGUGGAUUCGAUAAUUGGGGUGAAGUCGUAACAAGGUACC